CAAAAAUCCGUGCGGCUUAGCUGAGGCGUGAUGACGAGGAACUUCGGUUCUGAAGUUGCUGAUACCCUGCUUCCAGGAAAAGCCUCUAAGCUUCAGUCUGUGAUUGACCGUACCGCAAACCGACACAGGUGGGCAGGAUGAAAAUUCUAAGGCGCUUGAGAGAACUCAGGAGAAGGAACUCGGCAAAUUGAUACCGUAACUUCGGGAGAAGGUAUGCCUCGGUAGCGUGUAGUCCCUCGCGGGCGAAGCGUGAUGAGGUCGCAGAGAAUCGGUGGCUGCAACUGUUUAAUAAAAACACAGCACUCUGCAAAGGCGAAAGCCGACGUAUAGGGUGUGACGCCUGCCCGGUGCCGGAAGGUUAAGUGAUGGGGUGCAAGCUCUUGAUCGAAGCCCCGGUAAACGGCGGCCGUAACAAUAACGGUCCUAAGGUAGCGAAAUUCCUUGUCGGGUAGUUCCGACCUGCACGAAUGGCGUAAUGAUGGCCACACUGUCUCCUCCUGAGACUCAGCGAAGUUGAAAUGUUUGUGAAGAUGCAAUCUACCCGCGGCUAGACGGAAAGACCCCAUGAACCUUUACUGUAGCUUUGCAUUGGACUUUGACGGGACUUGUGUAGGAUAGGUGGGAGGCUGUGAGGCGUGGUCGCCAGAUCGCGCGGAGCCAACCUUGAAAUACCACCCUGGUGUCGUUGAGGUUCUAACCUUGGUCCGUGAAUCCGGAUCGGGGACCGUGCAUGGCAGGCAGUUUGACUGGGGCGGUCUCCUCCCAAAGAGUAACGGAGGAGUACGAAGGUCUUCUAAGCACGGUCGGACAUCGUGCUCAUAGUGCAAUGGCAAAAGAAGGCUUGACUGCGAGACCCACAAGUCGAGCAGGUGCGAAAGCAGGUCAUAGUGAUCCGGUGGUUCUGUAUGGAAGGGCCAUCGCUCAACGGAUAAAAGGUACUCUGGGGAUAACAGGCUGAUUCCGCCCAAGAGUUCAUAUCGACGGCGGAGUUUGGCACCUCGAUGUCGGCUCAUCACAUCCUGGGGCUGUAGCCGGUCCCAAGGGUAUGGCUGUUCGCCAUUUAAAGUGGUACGUGAGCUGGGUUUAAAACGUCGUGAGACAGUUUGGUCCCUAUCUGCCGUGGGCGCUGGAAAUUUGAGGGGGCCUGCUCCUAGUACGAGAGGACCGGAGUGGACGGAUCUCUGGUGUACCGGUUAUGACGCCAGUCGUAUCGCCGGGUAGCUAAAUCCGGAAGAGAUAAACGCUGAAAGCAUCUAAGCGUGAAACUCGCCUCAAGAUGAGAUUUCCCGGGGGUUCAACCCCCCUGAAGGGUCGUCCAAGACCAGGACGUUGGUAGGUCAGGUGUGGAAGCGCAGCGAUGCGUUAAGCUAACUGAUACUAAU
rnacentral:rRNA from 1 species